GACAGAGGGUGCAAACGUUGCUCGGAAUCACUGGGCGUAAAGCGCACGUAGGCGGAUUCCUAAGUCGGUGGUGAAAUCCUGGAGCUCAACUCCAGAACUGCCUCCGAUACUGAGAGUCUUCGAGUCCGGGAGAGGUGAGUGGAACUGCCGAGUGUAGAGGUGAAAUUCGUAGAUAUUCGCAAGAACACCAGUGGCGAAGGCGGCUCACUGGCCCGGUACUGACGCUGAGGUGCGAAAGCGUGGGGAGCAACAGG
rnacentral:rRNA from 1 species